GCCGCUUUCCUUUGCUAUAUUACCCUACAGCUCAGCCUGGAACUUUGUAGUCAGACUGAUCCUCAAACUCCAAGAAAUUCCCCUGCCUCGGUCUCCUGAGCGCUGGGCUUAUCAUGCAUGGGCUGUCUCACCUGGCUGUCCCCGAGUCACUCAUAUUGUCAGUGCUACUGAACAUCUUUCUAAACCUUACUCCCAUGGCUCUCAUCUUUGUCCUCACCGCUGCUAAAAAUCCAGUUCCUUUACGCCUAACCCAGUUCUGCCCUAAGUCACGUUAUUAAUCGCUUCCCCAAUAUCUGAUUUCCAUCCUUUACCUGUGUAACUGGCAGGGUAAGCGUCCCAACGAACAAACAAAUCCCUGUGCUGGUCUAUGAUGAAAUUCCGAAGCCUGUAUCAUAAGGCUUCCUUCCAAGGCCUUUUCCUAAAUGCAGGGCGUGGGGUGUGUAGACUUUGCGCUAAUUCUGCCACCUGGAACAGCCCUUAAUCAGGGUUUUGGGCUCCUCUCCACCUCUUCAAGCUCUUGUCUCCAAGCUCUCUUUGGCCAGCACAGGAAGUCCCAGCCCAGCCGGGAGUCUGUGCUCUUUAAGGCUCACUUCACUACUGCGGUGGACUGCUCUGGGCUCUUUCCUCCAGGAACUCCUCGAGGGCUGGGCUCUCUGGAUGGGAGGGGAUUCUGCCACGUUCAGCUUUGUAUCUCCAGCACUUAGUAUCAGGUCAAGCACCAGGAGGCCUUGGGCAAGUUCUGUCUUGCUCACAGUUGCUUCAGAGCACUUUACAGCACAGGCAGCAGGCAUGCAGGGUGAGCAAAGGAG
rnacentral:lncRNA from 1 species